ensembl:snRNA U1 U1 spliceosomal RNA
AUACUUACCUGGCAAGGGAGAUACCAUGAUCACGAAGGUGGUUUUCCCAGGGCAAGGCUUAUCCAUUGCACUCCGGAUGUGCUGACCCCUACGAUUUCCCCAAAUGUGGGAAACUCGACUGCAUAAUUUGUGGUAGUGGGGGACUGCGUUCGCGCUCUCCCCUG